rnacentral:lncRNA from 1 species
ACGAAAAGACUGGUAACACCAUUAUGGAAAAUAGGCUAAAUGGGCCUAGAUGACUAAAUCAGCUAUGUAGGGCCUAUUAGGGAUUUUUUGGCCCAAUAACUCGGUAUCGCGAAAAAUGGGCCAAAAUUGCUGUUUAAAACAUAUGUGUAAUAGGCCCAUUUCGCCCGGGCCCAUUAUAAACAAAAAAAUAAUAAAUAUAAAAAAAAAGAACAUAAAUGGCCCAAAAUUAGUCAAAAUCCAAGUUCUUUUACAAAUAAUAAAAUAACCCAAUUAACCCAAAUAAAUCCCCAAACCCAAUAAAAAUAUAACACCCAAUUAGCCCAAAUAACCCACUACCCUAAGCCCAAAACACUAAUGAUUUUUUCAGCAAACCCUCAACACUAGAAACUUCAGCUGCCAGCCUCUAUGCUCCACAACAACUUCUCCACGCCGUGCACACCUGCAACGGAUUAACAACCACAGCGAUUAACAGCAAAGAAAUAACAGAGAAGAGGGAUGAUGAGAGUUUCAAUUUUUUUUUCUUUUUUUUUUGAUUUUUUGGGGGUUUUCGGUUAUAAAAGGCCAUUUGUAAACAAUGUAAGGGGAUUGAUUUUUUUCUUGGAUACAAAUACAAAAUACACAUCAAUAAGAAAAGAAAGGUGAUUUGAGAUUCAAAUCUUUUCUUCUUUUUUUUUUUAGAUCUGAUAUCUUAUCUAGAUUUUUUUUAGUUUUCUUUCUUCUCUUUGGCAUCAAAAAGAUAAAAAGAGGGUGUUGCUUACCUCCGACUUUUCAUUGCGACCCAUCUGCGCGUGGUCGAUCACCAAGUCCGAUGGUGGUGCGGCGGCAUCCAGUCCUUGCCCUUAGAUUGAGGCCGUAACUCUAGCAAAAAGGGAUAAAAUGAAAGGGGUUAUUAGUUGCUGGUAUAAAAGGGCAGAUUCCCAUUCAUUUUUCUUUGAUUUUGAUAAUAAAACAAAACUGCACUAUCUAAGGAAGGGGGAUUUGCGUUUUUGUGCUUCAAAUGGGAGAUUUCAGCAGAUAGUCCUCCCAUUUUGCGCAUUCUUUUUAAUUAAUCCUUAUUUGCAUUUUAUUUGUUUUAAAUUUCUCCUAGAAUUUGCGUGACACUUCAAUUUAGCCCGCACCUAAACUCUGUGCUGUGAGAUCUGGAAUAUUUUCAGUUCUGAUCCCUGUACGUUCGAGCGCAGCGUGCUUUAGUCUUUUACGAUUUCAAUGGUUUAAUUCAUUAAUUACCCCUUUUAAUUUAAUUUUAUUUUAACUGAGUUUUUUUAUUUUGUAUAAUUCAUAAUUAUUUUUUUAAAAAGAU